rnacentral:rRNA from 1 species
UAAGUUUGAUGGCGACCGGCGCACGGGUGAGUAACACGUAUCCAACCUGCCGAUGACUCGGGGAUAGCCUUUCGAAAGAAAGAUUAAUACCCGAUGGCAUAGUUCUUCCGCAUGGUAGAACUAUUAAAGAAUUUCGGUCAUCGAUGGGGAUGCGUUCCAUUAGGUUGUUGGCGGGUAACGGCCCACCAAGCCUUCGAUGGAUAGGGGUUCUGAGAGGAAGGUCCCCCACAUUGGAACUGAGACACGGUCCAAACUCCUACGGGAGGCAGCAUG